CCAUAUUAUGGACAAAACCGGUGAAGCUAGAUGCAUGUUAUUCGAUAGUCAUGCAAAGGAAAUUCUUGGUACUACUGCCCCUUAAUUGCUUGAUGGUUCAUUUGAUGAGUUAUAUUGCCUUUUUUAAAAUAAACUCUUUCAUUAAAAUGACUACGUUCAUGUUAUACUAAUCUAUAUUUUUAUGUAGAUCGAAGACCCAACUGUUUUGCUUGAUGUGAUCAAUGGUUUGAAAGGGAAGACUUUUCAGUUUCUAUUGUGUAUUCAAAGGGAAAACAUAUUUGGUGGAUAUGAUUCAUUCACUGUUGUGCGAGUCUACACCGGUAACAUUGCUGAUGAAAUCGUUCAAGAAGACUCUGAUGCAUACGUUGAUCCAUCAUCCUUAAUUUCGAUCGAACAUGUUUGACUAAUAACGUUAAACAAUUCCA
rnacentral:sRNA from 1 species